rnacentral:rRNA from 1 species
GAACGCUGGCGGCAGGCUUAACACACGCAAGUCGAACGAUGAAGUCUAGCUUGCUAGACGGAUUAGUGGCGAACGGGUGAGUAAUGCUUAGGAAUCUGCCUAUUAGUGGGGGAUAACGUAGGGAAACUUACGCUAAUACCGCAUACGACCUACGGGUGAAAGGGGGCGUUUAGCUCUCGCUAAUAGAUGAGCCUAAGUCGGAUUAGCUAGUUGGUGGGGUAAAGGCCUACCAAGGCGACGAUCUGUAGCUGGUCUGAGAGGAUGAUCAGCCACACUGGGACUGAGACACGGCCCAGACUCCUACGGGAGGCAGCAGUGGGGAAUAUUGGACAAUGGGCGAAAGCCUGAUCCAGCCAUGCCGCGUGUGUGAAGAAGGCCUUUUGGUUGUAAAGCACUUUAAGUGGGGAGGAAAAGCUUGUGGUUAAUACCCAUAAGCCCUGACGUUACCCACAGAAUAAGCACCGGCUAACUCUGUGCCAGCAGCCGCGGUAAUACAGAGGGUGCAAGCGUUAAUCGGAAUUACUGGGCGUAAAGCGCGCGUAGGUGGUUAUUUAAGUCAGAUGUGAAAGCCCCGGGCUUAACCUGGGAACUGCAUCUGAUACUGGAUAACUAGAGUAGGUGAGAGGGGAGUAGAAUUCCAGGUGUAGCGGUGAAAUGCGUAGAGAUCUGGAGGAAUACCGAUGGCGAAGGCAGCUCCCUGGCAUCAUACUGACACUGAGGUGCGAAAGCGUGGGUAGCAAACAGGAUUAGAUACCCUGGUAGUCCACGCCGUAAACGAUGUCUACCAGUCGUUGGGUCUUUUAAAGAUUUAGUGACGCAGUUAACGCAAUAAGUAGACCGCCUGGGGAGUACGGCCGCAAGGUUA